rnacentral:rRNA from 1 species
GACGAACGCUGGCGGCGUGCCUAAUACAUGCAAGUCGAGCGAAUCAAUAGGAGCUUGCUCCUGUUGAUUAGCGGCGGACGGGUGAGUAACACGUGGGCAACCUGCCUGUAAGACUGGGAUAACUUCGGGAAACCGGAGCUAAUACCGGAUAAUUCUUUUCCUCUCAUGAGGAAAAGCUGAAAGUCGGUUUCGGCUGACACUUACAGAUGGGCCCGCGGCGCUUUAGCUAGUUGGUGAGGUAACGGCUCACCAAGGCGACGAUGCGUAGCCGACCUGAGAGGGUGAUCGGCCACACUGGGACUGAGAAACGGCCCAGACUCCUACGGGAGGCAGCAGUAGGGAAUCUUCCGCAAUGGACGAAAGUCUGACGGAGCAACGCCGCGUGAGCGAUGAAGGCCUUCGGGUCGUAAAGCUCUGUUGUUAGGGAAGAACAAGUAUCGGAGUAACUGCCGGUACCUUGACGGUACCUAACCAGAAAGCCACGGCUAACUACGUGCCAGCAGCCGCGGUAA